rnacentral:piRNA from 1 species
UGUUCACUCUCUAGGGACAGCCUCUCC